rnacentral:lncRNA from 1 species
AGACGAUGUAUGAAAUAAUCUUACUUUGUACGAUAUCAAGACAAAAUAUUCAAUUCAAACACGCCCUAACAUAAAAAGGUGAACUCGAUUUUCGUUGACGCAUAUCUCUCUUUCUUUGUCUUCUCAUAUUGAUCAUAUAAUUCAAAAAAUCACACCUGCUUAAACUUUACUUAAAAGGUGAAGAUAAAUUUGAAUCACCAGACACAGAAAAUGUUUUACAUCGCUUACGUUUUACCUCGUUUAGAUUGUUGUUGGUCAAUUUCGGGGAACUACAACAGCUUUCUAUUAGAUAUUUUACUACAACUGCAACAACCAUGAGGGAAGCAAGCAUGAUUCUAGACGAACAUGAUUACAGCAAACCUUCUAGCGAAUUUUUUCACGAAUGUGAGAUUGUGCCAAUUGCUAAAAGAAUACAUUACCAUAAAUCAUUACUAAUGUAUAAGGCAAACAAUGGUUUAUAGUUAUAUUGACGAACGGGGAUAGAGAGAGAAACUAGAAAAUGUACUUUAAUAAUGGACAGUGCAGAUAGAUAACAAGAGCUUAAUUUGUUCAGACAGACAUUCCCCCGACUUCAGAUAUCAUGCGAAAACUGUACCGUGAUGACUGUAUGUGUCUUUAGGAGUUUUACUUUUAGCUCAUGAUAUAUAAAUAUAACUACUUAGUAUAUUAAU